AUGAAAGCAGAGCCUUCAUGAAUGGAAUUAGUGCCCUUGUAAAAGAGACCUGAGGAAGCUCAUUUGCCCUUCCAUCAUGUGAGGACACAGUAAGAAGGCACUACCCAUGAGUCAGAAAAUGAGCCCUCAUCAGACACUGAAUAUGUGGGUGCCUUGAUCCUGGACCUCUCAGCCUCCGGAAUGGAUCUUGGCUAUGUGCGGUGGCUCACACCUGUAAUCCCAGCACUUUGGGAAGCCGAAGCAGACGGAUUGCUUGAGUCCAGGAGUUUGAGAGCAGCGUGGGAAACAUGGUGAAAACCUGUCACUAAAAAAAUACAAAAAUUAGUUGGGUGUGGUGACUCAUGUCUCUGGUCCCAGCUACUUGGGAGGCUGAGGUGGGAGGAUUGCUUGAGCCAAGGAGGCAGAGGUUGCAGUGAGCCGAGAUUGUACCACUGCACUCCAGCCUGGGCGACAGAGUGAGACCCUGUCCAAUAAAUAAAUAAAUAAAUGAUGGGAUCUCAUUCUUUUUAACUGAAUAGUAUUCCAUUGUGUAUAUACCACAUUUUCUUCAUCCAUUUGUUCAUUGAUGGGCACUUAGGUUGAUUCCAUAUUUUGACUAUUGUGAAUAGUGUUAUAAUAAACAUGGAAGUGCAUAUAUCUCUUUGACAUAUUGAUUCCCUUCUUUUUAGAUACAUACCUGGUAGUGGAAC
rnacentral:lncRNA from 10 species